rnacentral:rRNA from 1 species
CCCCCAGUAAGGGCGACUGAACGGGGAGGAGCCCAGCGCGGAACCUCGCGCGCCUUGCCGGCUGCGUCUGAGGAAUGUCGCGUUCCGGAGGGGCCUUCUCCGACCACACCGACCCCCCCCAAGUCCGCUUGAACGCGGCCACUGCCCACGGAGGGUGCGAGGCCCGUACGGGGAUUAGGAGUCGGGCGGUCGGACGGCCCCGUCCGUAGAGUCGGGUUGCCUACUAACGCAGCCCAAAGCAGGUGGUAAACUCCAUCUAAGGCUAAAUAUGACCACGAGACCGAUAGCGAACAAGU